rnacentral:tRNA from 1 species
GGAGAGGUGACCGAGAGGCCGAAGGUGAUCGCCUGCUAAGCGAUUGUGCGCUUAAUAGGUGCACCGAGGGUUCGAAUCCCUCCCUCUCCGCCA